rnacentral:rRNA from 2 species
UUAAAUUGAAGAGUUUGAUCAUGGCUCAGAUUGAACGCUGGCGGCAGGCCUAACACAUGCAAGUCGAACGGUAACAGGAAGCAGCUUGCUGCUUUGCUGACGAGUGGCGGACGGGUGAGUAAUGUCUGGGAAACUGCCUGAUGGAGGGGGAUAACUACUGGAAACGGUGGCUAAUACCGCAUAACGUCGCAAGACCAAAGAGGGGGACCUUCGGGCCUCUUGCCAUCAGAUGUGCCCAGAUGGGAUUAGCUUGUUGGUGAGGUAACGGCUCACCAAGGCGACGAUCCCUAGCUGGUCUGAGAGGAUGACCAG